rnacentral:misc_RNA from 1 species
UUGGCUUUCUUCCCUCACAAAUCUAGUUGAGAUUUGGAUGGUUAAUUGUAAAAGAUGUCAGUAUCUUCCAUCUCUCGAUCAAAUCCCUACUCUUAAGGAAUUAUGGAUUAGUGAAUUAAAUAAUCUAGAGUACAUAGAAAGUGAUGGGAAUAAUAGUCUCACUGAAGGAGGAAGAGAAUUCACAUUCUUCCCCUCCCUGAAAAAGCUCUGGAUCUGGAAAUGUCCCAAACUGAAGGGAUGGCGGAAGAACAGGGAUAAUAAUGAUGAUAGAGCAACAGCAGCCGUAGCAGCAACAGCAGCAAUGGACUCUGGCCUUUCUUUGGUGGAACUCCGUGAUUGCCCUAGAUUGACCUGGGUGCCGAUGAUUCCAUUUCUCAAAGGGAAGUUGUCUUUUGAAAAGGCUAGCUUAGAACCACUACUACAGAUAAUGAAGAAAAAGACGAUGCCAACGCAAUUUGGAGGCAGGAGUUUUACGAGUCAGCUUUCACGACCUAUCAAUCUAGUGACAAUUUGGUUAAAAGAUUGCGAAGGAUGCCAGCAUUUUCCACCACUAGAUCAAAUCCAUUCUCUUAGAGAAUUGUCUUUUGAAAAUUUAAUUGAUCUAGAGUACAUUAGUACGGGGGAUAAUUCUCUUGCUGGAGGUCGAGGAACAUUCUUUCCGUCCCUAAAGAAACUUUGGAUCUGGAAUUGUCCUAAUCUGAAGGGAUGGAAUAAGCAGGUGGAUGAUGAUUCAACAACUACAACAGUAGCAAAACUGCCGUGGUUUCCUUGUCUUUCUUUGUUAGAAAUA